GCAUGGCUACCGCCGUUCACAACGGCUCCAGACGCCACAUUCUCAGUCGUUAUGGUGGAGUCAGCUAGAGUAGCAAUCAUAAAGACCACCAUCAUCACCACCACGGUCGCCACAGAGAGGCCGGUAUGUUGCUAUAUCAUGAAGAGUCUCCCAAAUUCAAGUGAAUACAAAACAUCCCAUCUCGACUAGGGAAGUAGCACCAAUAUAUAUUCCUAUUAGCGAUACACUUUGAAAGCUUUAAUAGUUAGAUCUAAAUUUUACUUUCCACCUAACUGUAUUAUAUAUAUCUAUUAAUAUUUUAAACCUAAUCGAUUAUACUUACAUUUGUCCC